rnacentral:rRNA from 1 species
CUGGCGGCAUGCUUUACACAUGCAAGUCGAACGGCAGCACGGGGGCAACCCUGGUGGCGAGUGGCGAACGGGUGAGUAAUGCAUCGGAACGUAUCCUUAAGUGGGGGAUAACGCAUCGAAAGAUGCGCUAAUACCGCAUAAUCUCUAAGGAGAAAAGCAGGGGAUCGCAAGACCUUGCGCUUUUGGAGCGGCCGAUGUCUGAUUAGCUAGUUGGUGAGGUAAAGGCUUACCAAGGCUUCGAUCAGUAGCUGGUCUGAGAGGACGACCAGCCACACUGGGACUGAGACACGGCCCAGACUCCUACGGGAGGCAGCAGUGGGGAAUUUUGGACAAUGGGGGCGACCCUGAUCCAGCCAUGCCGCGUGAGUGAAGAAGGCCUUCGGGUUGUAAAGCUCUUUCAGCCGGAACGAAAAGGUUACGGUUAAUACCCGUGACUAAUGACGGUACCGGAAGAAGAAGCACCGGCUAACUACGUGCCAGCAGCCGCGGUAAUACGUAGGGUGCGAGCGUUAAUCGGAAUUACUGGGCGUAAAGCGUGCGCAGGCGGUUUUGUAAGUCAGAUGUGAAAUCCCCGGGCUUAACCUGGGAACUGCGUUUGAAACUACAAGGCUAGAGUGUGGCAGAGGGGGGUGGAAUUCCACGUGUAGCAGUGAAAUGCGUAGAGAUGUGGAGGAACACCGAUGGCGAAGGCAGCCCCCUGGGUUAACACUGACGCUCAGGCACGAAAGCGUGGGGAGCAAA